rnacentral:rRNA from 1 species
AACGAACGCUGGCGGCAUGCCUAACACAUGCAAGUCGAACGAGACCUUCGGGUCUAGUGGCGUACGGGUGCGUAACGCGUGGGAACCUGCCCUUAGGUUCGGAAUAACUCCCCGAAAGGGGUGCUAAUACCGGAUAAUGUCUUCGGACCAAAGAUUUAUCGCCUUUGGAUGGGCCCGCGUUGGAUUAGCUAGGUGGUAGGGUAAAAGCCUACCAAGGCGACGACCCAUAGCUGGUCUGAGAGGAUGAUCAGCCACACUGGGACUGAGACACGGCCCAGACUCCUACGGGAGGCAGCGGUGGGGAAUAUUGGAAAAUGGGCGAAGGCCUGAUCCAGCAAUGCCGCGUGAGUGAUGAAGGCCUUAGGGUUGUAAAGCUCUUUUACCCGGGAUGAUAAUGACAGUACCGGGAGAAUAAGCUCCGGCUAACUCCGUG